AUGCUUGUCAGCGUGCUAAGAGUCACCAGUUACCAUAUAAUUAUUCUACUCGUGUUUCUACAUCACCACUUGAGCUUAUUCAUACCGAUGUUUGGGGGCCUACUUUGCCAUCUUCAAAACUAUGUCAGCUUCAUUGAUGACUAUAGUCGUUACUGCUGGAUAUACUUGAUCAAGCAUAAAUCUGAGGUUGAGAGCAUUUUUUACACUUUUCAAAACCAUGUUGAGCGUCUCUUGAAUGCUAAGAUUCGUUCUGUUCAGUCAGACUGGGGGGUGAGUAUCACCGUCUCCAUGCUUAUUUUCAACGCACCGGCAUUGCUCAUCGUGUGUCUUGUCCACAUACCUCCCAACAAAAUGGUAUAG
rnacentral:rRNA from 1 species